rnacentral:rRNA from 1 species
UACGUAGGGUGCGAGCGUUAAUCGGAAUUACUGGGCGUAAAGGGCGCGUAGGCGGCCUUCUAAGUCGGACGUGAAAUCCCUCGGCUUAACCGAGGAACUGCGUCCGAUACUGAAAGGCUUGAAUCCGGGAGAGGGAUGUGGAAUUCCAGGUGUAGCGGUGAAAUGCGUAGAUAUCUGGAGGAACACCGGUGGCGAAGGCGGCAUCCUGGACCGGUAUUGACGCUGAGGCGCGAAAGCUAGGGGAGCAAACGGG